CCCGCACAAGCGGUGGAGCAUGUGGUUUAAUUCGAUGAUACGCGAGGAACCUUACCGUGGGCUCGAACGUAAGAUGACUGUAGGUGAAAGCUUACAUCUCUUCGGAGCAUUUUACGAGGUGCUGCAUGGUUGUCGUCAGCUCGUGCCGUGAGGUGUCGGGUUAAGUCCCAUAACGAGCGCAACCCUUACCUUUAGUUGCCAUCAGGUAAUGCUGGGGACUCUAAAGGAACUGCCUACGCAAGUAGUGAGGAAGGCGGGGAUGACGUCAAAUCAGCACGGCCCUUACGUCCAGGGCUACACACGUGCUACAAUGGCCGAUACAGAGGGCAGCUACCUGGUGACAGGAUGCAAAUCUCCAAAGUCGGUCUCAGUUCGGAUCGGAGUCUGCAACCCGACUCCGUGAAGUUGGAUUCGCUAGUAAUCGCGCAUCAGCCAUGGCGCGGUGAAUACGUUCCCGGGCCUU
rnacentral:rRNA from 1 species